CAAGGAGCCGCAUCACAAAAAAAUGUUCGGGGUAUGCUAAUUUACGGAAAAAGUAAUCUCACUUUGUACCCCGAAAAUUUAACCACAUUUGUGAAAAUGUCACAGCUUACUAACGAGCUAUCCAAGUUUACGAUAUGGACUGAGCUACAGGAAAAAACGUUACCAUUACCGCCUAUGUAAAAACAAUUAAAGAUAUUGACUCAACUGUAGCAAAAAGGGACAAACACA
rnacentral:lncRNA from 1 species